AACGAACGCUGGCGGUAUGCCUAACACAUGCAAGUCGAACGAGACCUUCGGGUCUAGUGGCGCACGGGUGCGUAACGCGUGGGAACCUGCCCUUAGGUUCGGAAUAACUCCCCGAAAGGGGUGCUAAUACCGGAUAAUGUCUUCGGACCAAAGAUUUAUCGCCUUUGGAUGGGCCCGCGUUGGAUUAGCUUGUUGGUAGGGUAAAAGCCUACCAAGGCGACGAUCCAUAGCUGGUCUGAGAGGAUGAUCAGCCACACUGAGACUGAGACACGGCCCAGACUCCUACGGGAGGCAGCAGUGGGGGAUAUUGGACAAUGGGGGGGAGCCUGAUCCAGCAAUGCCGGGAGAGUGAUGAAGGCCUUAGGGUUGUAAAGCUCUUUUACCCGGGAUGAUAAUGACAGUACCGGGAGAAUAAGCUCCGGCUAACUCCGUG
rnacentral:rRNA from 1 species